CAGAUUCUUAAAUUGCUUAAAAGAGAUUGAAUUGGAAUUACCCAGGCCCCAAACUGAAUUGAUGAAUUGGAAGUGUGCAAUAUGCGUGUGUCUGUGCACAUGUGGAUGUAUAAACAGGCACAGAGACUGGACCAGAGUCUAUUGCAUUUGCCACAGUCCCGACGGGGGAGUCAUGGGGUUGAAGUGACCCAUAGGCUGAUGGAAUGUGCUUGCUGGAUGCAGGGGAAAGGGAGAUUUAUAUCUGCCCUGGAGGAAGUCAGUGGUGUUUGCAUCAUGGCAUACGAGCCUGCCUGGGCCUGAGAGCGGUGGGGUGUUCACUCAUCUCCUUCCAAUCCCUGAUGAUUCCUGACCUCUCUUCUUCCAACUGGUAAUACCUGCACUCAAGGCUGAACCAUGAGGAGGCGUCUACCCACACCCCAGACCACGGCACUUCCUCCUCUCUGUCUGCCACUCCCUAGUGGGGCCCCCGGAUGCUGUGAGAGGACAGCAAUGGAGAUAGAACUUCCUUCUCUGGGAUCCCAAACUCCUAGACAAGCUGAGUAUGUUGAGGGGAUGGGAAGCACCAACACCCCACGUGUGUUACCGGAAGUGCUG